GACAGCGGUAGUCAGUGAAAGCUUGCAAGUAUGUGAGUGAAACGAUAGGACAAGACUGCUCGCCAAUACCUUGAGUCAAUAUUAGUUUCUUGGUGAAAUAACGGGCCAUGUAAAAGUGUGUUUUUAAUCAGGUUGUAGCGGCGUUGUUUGUUUGUUUGUAUUCAAGGGUUGACGUUGACUCAUUCGUGUGUUUAGGACUCAAGUUUUAUGGAAGAGUGGAGUGUUGUUGAUAGCCAUGUCAUUUUUACCGGUAACUUGGUCUGUACUGACAUCUCCGUUGAAUACCGUGUGAGGAUACAGGACGAUAUCUUGUUAUAUUAUUUAUUUUAGUUAUGUCGGUAUCAAUUAUUAAUUAUUUUGGACGAAUGGAUUUAUCUAAUCGUGUUCUCAAAGUUUACCUACUUGGUGGAGUGCUGUUUAUAAUUUUAUUCCACUCAGCUGUGAGUAAUGUUGUUUGUACCAAUAAGGAUAUUCCAGUAAUGCAGGAACUGUGCCAGAAAGAAAAUAAUGCUUUUCAAGAAGGCAACAAAAAUGACAAUCAUACAGGAAUAUGUUCGCGAUUAUUUGACAUGUGGUUUUGUGUAGCUCGAUCCGUCCCCCAGUGUUUUCAGAAUUACACGUUUUUCUACCAAUCAUAUCUUCAUUCCCCUCACAACUGUGAACCAACCAACGAGCAAUAUACAGAAUUACAGCGAAUACGUAAAGAGGGAAUGGAGAAAAUAAAAGUUGUUUCUCUCGACACAUCAACGAAUGUUUUCCCCGUAUCUGAGGAGGUGACAGACAGUUACGUGACCAAUUCAGAGGAUGGUGAGGGGGAGGAGGAACAAGAAAAGGAAAAGGAAGGGGGUAAAGAAAAAGGGGAGGAAAAGCAAGGUGGACAUUCCAGUCAUACAGGUUCAAAUAAAGGAACAAGUUUCCAUAGCAACAGAUUAUGGUUAUUUAUGAUGGUUACCCUGGUUUCAGUGCUACACAGCUUUGUGGAGAGACAUUGAUAGUUGUCCUGGUGAUGGAGAAGUUUUCAGAGAAAUGAUCAAUUCUAUUAUUGAUAAAACUGGACACUUGCGAUUCAAACCAAAGGACAAACUUUAAAUAAACUUAUAAAAAAAACGACCAACCAUUGAAAGAAUUUUACAGAAUCACAAAAUAUUCAUUUUUUGACUUUGUUAACAGACAUUAUUUGUUAGCAAUGACAUUCUUUUGAAUUGUUCAUUUAGAAGACGUUUCACCCUAUAUUUGAAAACGUCAGUCAAGUUGUCCAUGUGCCUAUUAUUAAGACACUAUAUGCUUCGGAUAAUUCCAUUGAUCAUUGUGUAACCGUGGCAUCAAAUACUUAAUCAAAUAUAAACUGCUACAUAAGACAUCAAAUGUCAUCAGCCAUUUUUGUUGUGUUUCCAUAGCGACUAUACCUGUGCUUCCAUGGUUACGUGAUACAUAUGUAUAUUAAUCAGCUUAUGAAUAUUCAUUCAGCUGCCAUGUUUAAGUGACACCUGCUUUCAUUUCUUGUGACAUAGCAUCAUGUGAUUUCAUUUUUUCGUAUUUUGACCGUGAAAAUUGUGAUUCUGUUGAAUAUAUAUAAACCUCAAGAUGUAUUAUUUAUAUUGAUUCGUCAUUUUAUCAACACAUCAUCCUUCGUUAUCAAUAUUUACCGACAUCACUAAAACAUAUUUGUCAUGAGUUUCGAUGUUGUGUUACUAUAGUAAUUAUUACUUAAACAUUUUAAAUUUCAAAAUGGUGUUUUUUGGGGGUAUCUUGAAAUCAUUUCUCAGAAUUUUCUACAAAUUUGACAAUAGAAACAAUUAAGUGGUAAGCUAGAAAUGUACCAGUAUUAUAUAAAGCAUGAGGAUGAACAUGUGAUGCUUGUUUUCCCAUUAACCAGACUGUUUUCAUCUUCCAUAUUAGUCUUUUAUUCAUGAUUGUCCAGUCAUUUAUUUCCACAAUUGGAAUUAUCUGAAAAGAACAACAAUUUUGAUGAACAGAAAGACAUUUAUAAAUCAAAUCAAAAAUGUUAAAACCAAAAAUAUUCUCAAAGUUAUGCAAAUUUUUAAAAAAAAUUUGAGUCCCAAUAAUGUGCCAGUAUUCAGUUUAUUUCAUUAACCUUUAACCCUUUAACUCCUGGAUUGUACUCCUCUAAUGCUUCAAACUGCCUGAUUCAUGUGUAUGGCUUCAAACUGCCUGAUUCAUGUGUAUGGCUUUAAACUGCCUGAUUCAUGUGUAUGGCUUUAAACUGCCUGAUUCAUGUGUAUGGCUUCAAACUGCCUGAUUCAUGUGUAUGGCUUCAAACUGCCUGAUUCAUGUGUAUGGCUUCAAACUGCCUGAUUCAUGUGUAUGGCUUCAAACUGCCUGAUUCAUGUGUAUGGCUUUAAACUAAUGAAGGAACAUACACUAGUUCUGUGACUCGGGUGGUUUGAGGCAGCAGGUACAUCGGUAGUUUUGAAACUCGUCAACAAAAAAAACCUCAAUAUAAGAAAGAUCCCUUUUUUUGUCUGGUUUUUUUUUGAGUAGCUGGGGUAGUUAUUAUCUAUAUGUGUCAGGGGCUUAAAGGGUUAACAAAGAUUUUUAUUCAUUUUGUCUAAUUUUGUUUUGUUUAUGUAAUUUUAUUGUAAAAUGUAUUUUAUUUAGUUAUAAUAUGAAGGGUUCUUCCGAAAAUGAGAUAAAAAUCGGGCAAGAAUUAAGAAAAAAGCAAGACGUUUUCAUGGUCCAGACAACAAACAUGAUUAUUAAAAUUUAGUUAAAUAUAAAAUUGUUUUAAACCAGUAUUAUAUAUUCUUGGGCAAAAUUUAACCAAAAAAAAAUUCAUUUCAUGGUUGUUCAGAGGACAGACAAAAUUGAUUUAUUAAAUUAAUUACAUAUUAGGUGGUUUUAAAAUAAAAUUAUUUUAAGAAUUAUCACUAGAUGUCAAAUUUCAAGUAUUUCAAUUUUUUUGCAAGGAAUAUGCCAAUUUGUAAUACUAUUUAUACCGGGUAUUUAUUUUUAAAUUAGUAUAAAGUAAACCGGUGUUGAUCUUGUUUUUUAGGGGAAAACUCUUCAUAUGCUUCGGGAAUCAUGUAUCGUUUUAAUGCAAAUUAUAAAUUUUUUGAUAUGAUAAAAGUGCUUUUGUUUAAAAUUAUCUUAUUAUAUAUAUCUAUCUAGCUUAUAUUAUUAAUAAUGAAUUGUAUCUUUUAAUUUAAUCCUUUACAUUCCAAAGAAAUAUAUGCAUUUUGAAUUUAUAAUAAUUAAAACUCAUAGAAAUAAGUCAGAAAUCCUGUAAUUGAUUUUUAAAAUACUGUCAACAAAGAAGUGAAAGAAAUCUGAAACUAGACUAAUAAUGUUUUUUAUGAUUCUAUCAAGAUCGAUGGAAAUUACAUCCAAUACUGUAACACAAGAUAUUAAUCUGCAUUUAUUACUAAAUGAUUUGAAAUAUUGUUCUUCCUUUUUCUUCAACGAAAAAGUAAUUUAAACACAAAAAAUGUAUGCUUUAAACUCAUUAGUUUUGACCAAAGUAUUGUUCCUGAGAUUAAACUGAUGAUGUAUUUAUCAAAGCCCCAGAAGAAUUAAAAAUGAAAUCAGUUUGACCAAAAUAACCAGUCUGUGUUAUAUAGCAUGAAGAGUCUCUAGGCAAAACCUGAUUCAUUUUUAGUAUGCUAAAAAUUUCACACAGACUUGAGUCCCUGUUCAGCAUCAAUAUAUUACUUAAUGUUUCACUCUCUAUUUUUAAAUAGGACAUAGUAACUUCUUACUAUCAUUAAUUGACUUUUACCAAAAAGCAUUUUUCAUUUUAUUUCACUUAAUUAAAUAUCGAUUUAAUUCAACCCGUGAAUAUUGUAAAAUUGUUUUGUUGAAAACCCUUGCCAUAAAAACAACCCAGCAUUGUUUUAGAUCUCUUUAUACAUGUAUAUAUAUAUAUAUAUAUAUAUAUAUAUAUAUAUAUAUAUAUAUAUAUAUAUAUAUAUAUGUUUAUCCCCAUUCCUUCUUACAUCUAUCUGAUUAUAUGAUAAUCAAGACUAUAGACUUUAACAACCCAUUCUGUUGGUCUAUUCUGGUCUUUGUUAAUGUGUUAUGAAGUUUUUAAAUUAAGAAAUUUUAAAUCACUAAAAUUUGUUUAGUUAAUGUGAAAGUGGUGUAUAUACUGCCCCAAACAUUAAUUAUGUGAUUUCUAACCAUAGUAUAUUGUUUAUUUAUUAUGUGUUAAAAGGUUGUGAACUUUGCUUAUUGUACACAUGCUGUGAUCAGACCUCAAGAAGACUAACUGGUAUUAUAAAUAAGUUCAAGCAUCUAACCAACGCAUGCAACUUGGUCGGUCAUAGAAUAAACAAAAAAUGAAAUGAUGAGAAUUAUGCAGAACGAUAAUUCGUUUCUGAGCAUUGAACUUAACGGUUUGUUAGUCUCAAAUUAAUCAAAUUAUUGUCAAUGAGAUGUUAAAAUAUUCCAUUCCUUUACCAGAUAAAUUCACCACAAGUUACGUAAUUCACCACAAGUUAAGUAAUUUAACAGAGGUUAAGUAAUUUAACACAAGUUAAGUAAUUUAACACAAGUUAAGUAAUUUAACACACAUACAGAAUCCCGAUUCAUAAAGACAUUUUGAUGUGGAGGUCUGAUCAUUACAUGAUUGUUGUUGUCAUCAUCAUCAUCUUCAUCAUUCACGAGAUCAUUAAUUCACAUAUCAUUAAAUUGCCUCAUAUAAAUUAUAACCCAUACACAUAUUAAUUAAUCAAAUAUAUGAAAUGCUUUUAAACUGAUUAAAAUGUUGAUCUUUGUUGUGUUUGUAAAUUAAUAUAUGAAUUUUAUAUGAAAUAUGAUAUUGUGUAUAUUGCAUAUAUUGCAUUAGCUUCUUACCCGUUCAAAAUAUAAUUAAACACCAUUUGGUCUUUGUGAUGCCCUUGGAUACUUCCAAAGUUUAAUGUAAACUUUUAGAGACAUAUGUUUCAGUAAAUCCAAAACUGAUCAAGUCAUGCAAUCCUGCAUCUUAUCAGGAUGUCUUCACUAUCGGCAAUAUGUAUUGCCAUUCCUCAAAAAUAUGUUGAAUUUCAAGAUGGUAGACUAUAAAAGAGAAUAUAUGAUAUCAUCACCAAUCUUUAGUUGGAAUAUAAAAUAAGAUGGACCAUUUAUUGUUUGUGUUCUUAAAUUUUUUCAAAUGCAGCUUCAUAAAGUAUCCAUGUUGAUUAUGGUAUUACUGACAAUACGUGUUGUAUUUUUCUGGAUCUUAAAUCAUUUCUUGAAAGGUAUGUUUCCCUGGGGUUUAUUGAGGUAUCUAUUGUAACUUAUGAAGGUAUGUUUCCCCGGGGUUUAUUGAGGUAUCUAUUGUAACCUAUGUGGAUAGAGAAAGGUAUGUUUCCCCGGGGUUUAUUGAGGUAUGUCUCCCCGGGGUUUAUUGAGGUAUCUAUUGUAACUAGGGUUAGGGUUAGGGUUAGGUUUAUUGAGGUAUCUAUUGUAACUUAUGUGGAUAGAGAAAGACAAUAAGUUAGUUCACAAUAAAUGACGUUAGAACGUGAAGCAGUGCCUAAAAUAGCUUGGACGUCAUGCGACAUGCGAAUCAGGGUCUACAAUAGCUUGAACGUCAACCAAUCUUUAAGUUUGAAAGCUUCUGGACUAUCGAGGAAACAUGUCUUUCAAACUAGACACAUGAUUCUUAUAAUGAUUUAAAGAGCGCUAUAAUAUUAUAAACUUAUUCUUGCGAUUUUAAACGUUAUGUAUAGUUCAAAUCAAACAUAUAUAUAUAACAAAUUAAUUACUGUUGAAUUUUUCAGUUUGAAUUAUUUAUUUAAAAGAAUUGUAUGUAUAUAUUCAAAAAUACAGAAUAAAGAUCAAAAGCCUUUUAUUUUA